GCCUAUCAGCUUGUUGGUGGGGUAACGGCCUACCAAGGCUUCGACGGGUAGCUGGUCUGAGAGGAUGGUCAGCCACACUGGGACUGAGACACGGCCCAGACUCCUACGGGAGGCAGCAGUUAGGAAUCUUGCGCAAUGGACGAGAGUCUGACGCAGCAACGCCGCGUGAGGGAUGAAGGCUCUCGGGUUGUAAACCUCUUUCAGCAGGAACGAAAAUGACGGUACCUGCAGAAGAAGCUCCGGCCAACUACGUGCCAGCAGCCGCGGUAAUACGUAGGGAGCAAGCGUUGUCCGGAUUUAUUGGGCGUAAAGAGCUCGUAGGCGGUUUAGAAAGUCAGGUGUGAAAACUCUGGGCUCAACCCAGAGACGCCACUUGAUACUUCUAUGACUUGAGUUCGGUAGGGGUGAGUGGAAUUCCUGGUGUAGCGGUGAAAUGCGCAGAUAUCAGGAGGAACACCGAUGGCGAAGGCAGCUCACUGGGCCGAUACUGACGCUGAGGAGCGAAAGCGUGGGGAGCGAACAGGAUUAGAUACCCUGGUAGUCCACGCCGUAAACGUUGGGAACUAGGUGUGGGAGAUAUUCAACGUCUUCCGUGCCGUAGCUAACGCAUUAAGUUCCCCGCCUGGGGAGUACGG
rnacentral:rRNA from 1 species